ACUCCUACGGGAGGCAGCAGUGGGAAUCUUGCGCAAUGGGCGAAAGCCUGACGCAGCAACGCCGCGUGAGGGAAGACGGCCUUAGGGUUGUAAACCUCUUUCAGUUGGGACGAAGGCAGUUCGGUGAAUAGCCGGACUGUUGACGGUACCUUCAGAAGAAGCCCCGGCUAACUACGUGCCAGCAGCCGCGGUAAUACGUAGGGGGCAAGCGUUGUCCGGAAUCAUUGGGCGUAAAGCGCGUGUAGGCGGCUCAGUCAGUCUGAUGUGAAAUCUUGGGGCUCAACCCCGAACGUGCAUUGGAUACUGCUGAGCUUGAGUCCGGAAGAGGAGAGUGGAAUUCCUGGUGUAGCGGUGGAAUGCGCAGAUAUCAGGAGGAACACCAGUGGCGAAGGCGGCUCUCUGGUACGUGACUGACGCUGAGACGCGAAAGCGUGGGAGCGAACAGGAUUAGAUACCCUGGUAGGC
rnacentral:rRNA from 1 species